rnacentral:rRNA from 1 species
GACAGAGGGUGCAAACGUUGCUCGGAAUUACUGGGCGUAAAGGGCGCGUAGGCGGCACUGUUAGUCAGGCGUGAAAGUCCUGGGCUCAACCUGGGAACUGCGCUUGAUACGGCAGAGCUAGAGGAUGGAAGAGGGUCGCGGAAUUCCCAGUGUAGAGGUGAAAUUCGUAGAUAUUGGGAAGAACACCGGUGGCGAAGGCGGCGACCUGGUCCAUUACUGACGCUGAGGCGCGACAGCGUGGGGAGCAAACAGG